GUGUACUAGAUCUAGUGUGUACUGUAGUGUAGUAGUGUGUACUCAUGUAACCUACAGCCUACAACAGGUGGAUGCUGUGUAAAACUAAGCAAGAAAAAGUAUGGUUGUUGGAACAGUAACAGUAUUGAAUUCAGCUCGUGGAUUGCUUCAGCAUGCUUUCAGACAUUUUACGCCAUAUUUGAAUAGGUUACCUGUAUCAACUAAUAGAAGAGUGCAUUUGCUUCCAAUUUAUUUUUUUAGAUCUAUUUCAACACCUUAUAAUAGUAUAAAAGAUGAACAUUUUCGCAAUCAGUCUAUUGCGAAUAUUCUAGACUGUGACUUAGUUGAUGUAGAAUCUUUUUUAGAAAAAUAUCCAUUCUUACGUCGCAUGUCUACUCACCUAAUCCAACUAAAAGUGAACUUGUUUUUGUCUUACAAUUUUUCCAUAUCUGCAUUAAAAACAAACCUGAGACCAAUUAGCUGCCAUUCAUACGAAGAACUUAAUCGGCGCUUACAGUUACUAAAAGAAAAAUCAUUUUUAAAUGACAGUUCGUUUGUAAAGCAAGAAAACCUAGUUUAUUUCCUGGAAUGUGACUGCCACAAUUUUGAUGCAGCUUUUAAAAAUUUAUGCUCAGAGCUUGAUGCACUUGAAGGCUGUGCCAGUCAGUGUGAGUACCUUCAACACAGACUGAAGUGUACAAAAGAAAAAGCUGACAGUAUGCUUUCAUCUUAUCCGCUGUCAAAACAUAUCAGUAACUGUAAAAUGAAAAGUGUUUUGGAUUUUUUUCUCAAUGAGGUGAAAGUUGAUCCAGAAUAUGUGAUUAAAAACAAGCGUUUCUUCUCAUUUUCUUUAACCAGACUGCAACAACGAUGGAUAAUUAUGCAGUCGGGUGGUGUUGCGCUGGAAAAAUAUGCAGACUUUUGGAAUUUAACAGAAAAACAAUUUCAAAAAAAAUUCCAAGAAUAUUUUCCACAAAAAUAAGAUUUAAGUGCUGUUGUCAAAAGUGAAAUGUGCCUUAACACUAUUUUGUUAAAGCAAUACAAUAACAUAGCCAUAA